rnacentral:rRNA from 1 species
GAUGAACGCUGGCGGCGUGCCUAAUACAUGCAAGUCGAGCGAACGGACGAGAAGCUUGCUUCUCUGAUGUUAGCGGCGGACGGGUGAGUAACACGUGGAUAACCUACCUAUAAGACUGGGAUAACUUCGGGAAACCGUAGCUAAUACCGGAUAAUAUUUUGAACCGCAUGGUUCAAAAGUGAAAGACGGUCUUGCUGUCACUUAUAGAUGGAUCCGCGCUGCAUUAGCUAGUUGGUAAGGUAACGGCUUACCAAGGCAACGAUGCAUAGCCGACCUGAGAGGGUGAUCGGCCACACUGGAACUGAGACACGGUCCAGACUCCGACGGGAGGCAGCAGUAGGGAAUCUUCCGCAAUGGGCGAAAGCCUGACGGAGCAACGCCGCGUGAGUGAUGAAGGUCUUCGGAUCGUAAAACUCUGUUAUUAGGGAAGAACAUAUGUGUAAGUAACUGUGCACAUCUUGACGGUACCUAAUCAGAAAGCCACGGCUAACUACGUG